rnacentral:rRNA from 1 species
AACGGACGCUGGCGGCAGGCCUAACACAUGCAAGUCGAGCGAGGUAGCAAUACCUAGCGGCGGACGGGUGAGUAACGCGUGGGAACGUGCCCCUUGGUACGGAAUAGCCCCGGGAAACUGGGAGUAAUACCGUAUGAGCUCUACGGAGGAAAGAUUUAUCGCCAAGGGAUCGGCCCGCGUUGGAUUAGGUAGUUGGUGGGGUAAUGGCCUACCAAGCCGACGAUCCAUAGCUGGUUUGAGAGGAUGAUCAGCCACACUGGGACUGAGACACGGCCCAGACUCCUACGGGAGGCAGCAGUGGGGAAUCUUAGACAAUGGGCGCAAGCCUGAUCUAGCCAUGCCGCGUGAGCGAUGAAGGCCUUAGGGUUGUAAAGCUCUUUCAGCUGGGAAGAUAAUGACUGUACCAGCAGAAGAAGCCCCGGCUAACUCCGUGCCAGCAGCCGCGGUAA